AUUGAACGCUGGCGGCAUGCCUUACACAUGCAAGUCGAACGGCAGCACGGGUGCUUGCACCUGGUGGCGAGUGGCGAACGGGUGAGUAAUACAUCGGAACGUACCUUAUCGUGGGGGAUAACGCAGCGAAAGCUGUGCUAAUACCGCAUACGCCCUGAGGGGGAAAGCGGGGGAUCGAAAGACCUCGCGCGAUUAGAGCGGCCGAUGCCUGAUUAGCUUGUUGGGGGGGUAAAAGCCCACCAAGGCGACGAUCAGUAGCUGGUCUGAGAGGACGAUCAGCCACACUGGGACUGAGACACGGCCCAGACUCCUACGGGAGGCAGCAGUGGGGAAUUUUGGACAAUGGGGGCAACCCUGAUCCAGCAAUGCCGCGUGAGUGAAGAAGGCCUUCGGGUUGUAAAGCUCUUUUGUCAGGGAAGAAACACCGGCUCUAACACAGUCCGGGAAUGACGGUACCUGAAGAAUAAGCACCGGCUAACUACGUGCCAGCAGCCGCAGUAAAAC
rnacentral:rRNA from 1 species